rnacentral:lncRNA from 1 species
AUUUUUUAUGGCCUGCUCAGCAUGAUUCAGUAAGAGACAUUUAGCAAAUAAGAUUGGUAGACUGUUAAGGAUCUUAAACAGUGUCUUAGCUAUUGUGUCACACCAAUGCUUUUUAAACAGGAAAAACAGUAUUCUCCAGCCCUUUUUAUUCAAAAUAUUAGCAGUCUGAAGUUAUGUUAAACAGUUAAUGGUUCUGCUUGUUUGUCUCAGUGAACCCCAGACCUUACACAUGAUAGGCAGGUGCCUUACCCCAGCCAGCUAGAACAUCUAGGAAAAGGGUUGCUACACCACAGAAGUCAAUCCAGGCAACCCAAACCUAGCACCCUCCAUUGGCCUGGCCAGCAGCUGAGCAGUGCAGGUAAGGAGCUUUUAAGGAUGAACACCCUGUUCUUAUCAUCUUCCAUCUAGUGCAAUCUCAGAAGCACGGAGUGCUGUCCCACACUGGGUGAUCCCCAAGCCUGUUCAGACUUGCUUUCUUCUGGGGCAAUGAUCAAGGGCUGGAAGCUAGGAGAUCAAAGCCUGGUUUCUUCUCUUAGUCCCACCUCAGCUCUGCCUAUGAAGCCAUCCCUCCAUCUGACCUCCAAAGAGCAGCCUUUGUUCAUUCCAUGCAGAUGUCCUGAAUGCACACCCUGUGCAAAGGGGCGUAAACUGAGCACUUGUGGUUUCAUCCAGUUCUGGAAGAAGUGGCUGUGCAAUGGAAGGAGCCACUGUGAAUCACCAGAGUGGGGGGAAAAAAUGCAGAUUGAAAUAAACAGAGAGGCAACUGGAAAUGACGAGCAUGAGCAGGCGAUGACUAAGGGACAGAUCAGUGCGUCAGACAAGGAGCUCUUAUGGAGGUGGCUUGGAGGUGGGCAGGAGACCGGAAGAAAGAGCUAUCAUUACACUUUCAUGAUUGUGUGCCCACGUCCACCCAUGCAAAAAAAGGAGGCACUGGCAUGUUGGAAGUGCUUUUUGCUGAAGAGAUUCUGUCCAGGUCCUUGUGUAAAGUGACUCGACUCUACACGUGUAUACUCUGAGUCACCUCCAGCCCAGAGAAACCUUCCCCAUUCUGAGGCAGCCACCUCCUUGCCCCACGUAUUAAGCUCCAGGUAACCAUAAUGUGUACACUUGCCACCAAACAAAAUGCAUAUGAGAUCUCAAUUUACUGAAAACAAAUGACUCUUCGGUGUGGCAUGAUGUCUCAGCAAAGACACUCUCUACUUUGCUAAGAAAGAGAAAGGUAGUUUAAUAUUUGGAAUUGUCAAAUGUGGGUUUAGAGGGAUGGGUUGUUUCUGUUUUUUGUUUUUGUUUGUUUUUGUUUUUGUUUGAGACAGAGUCUGACAUAACCCAGGCUGACCUAGAAAUCCUGAAACUUUUGUAUUCACUAGAAUCACAGGUGUGUGUCACCAGGCCCAGCCUGGCCUACUACAUCUGUUUUAAAAUAAACUGGCACCCAGCCAUGGUGGUUCA